rnacentral:lncRNA from 1 species
AUGACAAUAGGAUCCUGCUUUAAUAGUAUAGAUGUAGAGGGGUAACUUGAAACGCAAUGUCUUAAACCUAGUUUCUAAAUUUAUUUUAUCGUCUUCAAAUUAAUGUACCAAAGAUGACAAUUUUACUCAAAAUGUAGACUCGGCGAUAUCACGUUGAUGCUAGCUGCAACGCAGACCUUUUACGAGACUUUUGUUUUCUCUCGAAAAUAAUUUCAAAAUAUAUUAUUAUAAAAAUAAGUCCAUCCAUAGUUACAUUUACACGUGUCUCCGACUUUUAUAUUAUGCAAUAUUCAAAGUUAUUGCAUA